UACGUAGGGUGCGAGCGUUUGUCCGGAAUUACUGGGCGUAAAGAGCUCGUAGGUGGUUUGUCGCGUUGUUCGUGAAAACUCACAGCUUAACUGUGGGCGUGCGGGCGAUACGGGCAGACUGGAGUACUGCAGGGGAGACUGGAAUUCCUGGUGUAGCGGUGGAAUGCGCAGAUAUCAGGAGGAACACCGGUGGCGAAGGCGGGUCUCUGGGACGGUACUGACGCUGGAGACGCGAAAGCGUGGGGAGCGAACAGG
rnacentral:rRNA from 1 species